rnacentral:rRNA from 1 species
AUCUCAAAUCAGGUAGGACUACCCGCUGAACUUAAGCAUAUCAAUAAGCGGAGGAAAAGAAACUAACAAGGAUUCCCCUAGUAACUGCGAGUGAAGCGGGAAGAGCUCAAAUUUAAAAUCUGGCAUGCCUCCGGCUGUCCGAGUUGUAGUCUGGAGAAG